AUUGAACGCUGGCGGCAGGCCUAACACAUGCAAGUCGAGCGCGAAAGUUCUUCGGAAUGAGUAAAGCGGCGAACGGGUGAGUAAUGCAUGGGAAUCUGCCUGGUAGUGGGGGACAACGUCUCGAAAGGGGCGCUAAUACCGCAUACGCCCUACGGGGGAAAGAGGGGGAUCUUCGGACCUCUUGCUAUCAGAUGAGCCCAUGUCGGAUUAGCUUGUUGGUGAGGUAAAGGCUCACCAAGGCGACGAUCCGUAACUGGUCUGAGAGGAUGAUCAGUCACACGGGAACUGAGACACGGUCCAGACUCCUACGGGAGGCAGCAGUGGGGAAUAUUGGACAAUGGGCGCAAGCCUGAUCCAGCCAUGCCGCGUGUGUGAAGAAGGCCCUAGGGUUGUAAAGCACUUUCAGUGGGGAGAAAGGCCUUUUACCUAAUACGUAAGAGGAUUGAUGUUACCCACAGAAGAAGCACCGGCUAACUCCGUGCCAGCCGCCGCAGUAAAAC
rnacentral:rRNA from 1 species